rnacentral:lncRNA from 1 species
CACCAUUCUCAAUGAGUUGAGGACACUUUUCGGAUGCAUGUCCUUGGAUAGAACAUACCCCACACACCAUGGGUCUUUGAAUCUUCAUUCCCUCGGCCAUCUGUGAAACAAGAGAAGUAAGAUUAGCUAACUGAGAUUGAAUAUUGGAAGUGGAACUUACCUCAUGCACUUGUUGCCGUGGGGUUCCUCUUUGGCCUACACCCUCGUAUUGUUGAGCGUUCAAUG